UGAAUACGAGACGCUAAGGCGUCGAAGUAGUGUAUGUCAUACUUCCAAGAAAAGCUUGCACUGUCAUAAGUAAAAAAUGCCUGUACCAUAACCGACACAGGUGGGUAGGUAGAGUAUACUAAGGGGCGCGAGAUAACUCUCUCUAAGGAACUCGGCAAAAUAACUCCGUAACUUCGGGAGAAGGAGUACCUUAUUCUAUAAGGUUGCAAUAACAAGAUCCAAGCAACUGUUUAUCAAAAACACAGGUCUCCGCUAAGUCGUAAGACGAUGUAUGGGGGCUGACGCCAGCCCAGUGCCAGAAGGUUAAAGAAGUCGGUUAGCAUUAGCGAAGCUGGUAACUGAAGCCCUGGUGAACGGCGGCCGUAACUAUAACGGUCCUAAGGUAGCGAAAUUCCUUGUCGGGUAAGUUCCGACCCGCACGAAAGGCGUAAUGAUUUGGAUACUGUCUCGGAGAGGGGCUCGGUGAAAUAGACUUGUCUGUGAAGAUGCGGACUACCUGCACCAGGACAGAAAGACCCUAUGAAGCUUUACUGUAACUUGAAAUUGAAAUUGGACUUUAUUCGCGCAGUAUAGGUGGGAGGUGUUGAUUAUAAUCUUGCGGGAUUAUUGGAGCCAUCAGUGAGAUACCACUCUUGUAAUGUUAGAUUUCUAACUUUGAAUCAUUAUCUGGUCAAAGGACAGUUUCAGGCGGGCAGUUUGACUGGGGCGGUCGCCUCCCAAACGGUAACGGAGGCGUACAAAGGUUUCCUCUGAACGGGUAGAAAUCGUAUCUAGAGUGUAAAGGCAUAAGGAAGCUUGACUGUGAGACCUACAAGUCGAACAGGGACGAAAGUCGGUCUUAGUGAUCUGACGGUACUGAGUGGAAAGGCCGUCACUCAACGGAUAAAAGUUACUCUAGGAUAACAGGCUGAUCUCCCCCAAGAGUUCACAUCGACGGGGAGGUUUGGCACCUCGAUGUCGGCUCAUCGCAUCCUGGGGCGGUAGUACGUCCCAAGGGUUGGGCUGUUCGCCCAUGAAAGCGGUACGCGAGCUGGGUUCAGAACGUCGUGAGACAGUUCGGUCCAUAUCCGGUGUAGGCGUUAGAAUAUUGAGAGGAGCCUUCUUUAGUACGAGAGGACCGAGAAGGACAUACCUCUGGUGUACCAGUUAUCGUGCCAACGGUAAACGCCGGGUAGCUAUGUAUGGAGUGGAUAACCGCUGAAAGCAUCUAAGUGGGAAGCCCACCUCAAGAUAAGUAUUCUC
rnacentral:rRNA from 1 species